CACAAGCGGUGGAUGAUGUGGAUUAAUUCGAUGCAACGCGAAAACCUUACCUACCCUUGACAUGUCCGGAAUCCCGAAGAGAUUUGGGAGUGCUCGAAAGAGAACCUGCACACAGGUGCUGCAUGGCUGUCGUCAGCUCGUGUCGUGAGAUGUUGGGUUAAGUCCCGCAACGAGCGCAACCCUUGCCAUUAGUUGCUACGAAAGGGCACUCUAAUGGGACUGCCGGUGACAAACCGGAGGAAGGUGGGGAUGACGUCAAGUCCUCAUGGCCCUUAUAGGUGGGGCUACACACGUCAUACAAUGGCCGGUACAGAGGGUAGCCAACCCGCGAGGGGGAGCCAAUCCCACAAAGCCGGUCGUAGUCCGGAUUGUUCUCUGCAACUCGAGAGCAUGAAGUCGGAAUCGCUAGUAAUCGCGGAUCAGCAUGUCGCGGUGAAUACGUUCCCGGGUCUU
rnacentral:rRNA from 1 species